rnacentral:rRNA from 1 species
GAUGAACGCUAGCUACAGGCUUAACACAUGCAAGUCGAGGGGAAACGAUAUUGGAAGCUUGCUUCCGAUAGGCGUCGACCGGCGCACGGGUGAGUAACGCGUAUCCAACCUGCCCACCACUUGGGGAUAACCUUGCGAAAGUAAGACUAAUACCCAAUGAUAUCUCUAGAAGACAUCUGAAAGAGAUUAAAGAUUUAUCGGUGAUGGAUGGGGAUGCGUCUGAUUAGCUUGUUGGCGGGGUAACGGCCCACCAAGGCGGCGAUCAGUAGCCGGUCUGAGAGGAUGAACGGCCACAUUGGGACUGAGACACGGCCCAGACUCCUACGGGAGGCAGCAGUGGGGAAUCUUCCGCAAUGGACGAAAGUCUGACGGAGCAACGCCGCGUGAACGAUGACGGCCUGGU